rnacentral:lncRNA from 1 species
GUUUAAUACUCCACAGAAAAAAAAAAAAAGAACCAUGGAAUUCUGAGUCCCACCUGUUAAAUUAUUUGUCCUUCUAAUAGAAGCAGGAAUGAAAGGCGUAUGUUCAACAUCAUUUUGGACCCAUUUUCUGUGGCGGGAAACCAAGGUCCUGCACUAGGCAUUGCAGAUAUGAAGAUGAACUGGAUACAGAGCCCGAUUUCAGGGAGUCACAAGAGUGUGUGCUUAGUGCUGUGAGAGAGAACUUCCCCCUAGACAAAGGACAUCUAGACCAGCCUGGAGGGAGCAGACCCUGUUAAUAUCUCUGAGCUCAUUGCUUUUCUGGAAGAACAUGUUCCGAGUUCCAAUUUGGGAUGAUUCAAAACCUACGUCUGCCCCAGGCUUGAGGACAGCCUCCUGUGAUGAAGGGACAGACCGCCGGUGUGGCUAGUUCAGUCCAGAGUCCGUGUGUCUUCCGUGCUGAAGUUCAAAGCCAUGGUUCCUGUGUGUUCCUUAACAUGAUACAGGUGGGCCUUCAUUGGAAACACCUUCUGCUCCGCCAGCUCAGUUCUCAUGAAAACAAACAAUGGUGCCCUUUGCCCAAGUCGGAAGAGGAGGCUGUGAAAUCGCCAUGAGCUUCCCGUGCAGGCCACAGCUUCAAUCAGGUCCUUCUGCUGGGGCGCCUGGGAUGGGUCACACCCUUUGCCUCCUCUCUCUGGAUGGCAUUUCUAAGUCACACCAGGGGCUCUGGGCAUUGAGGCUUGGGAUACCCAUCUCCUGAGCCCUUCUUCCUGGGAAGAUGCCAGGGGCCAAAGCCAGGUGGACGCCAGCUCAGCCUCUACACUCUCAGUCCCAACUGGGUGUGAUCACUGCAGAGCUCCUCUGGGGUGGAGAGAAAGAAGAAAUAAAAGAGCCCUUCUUUAUAUAAAAUUGGAUUUUAACAUUCUCCAAAGUGGUGGCAGCCCCUGGAUUGCAAAUGAAAAGCACCCAGUUUUCCCAGAGAAUAAUCUGGAAGAGGGAAGUGGAGGUGAAUGGCCUCCUUCUGUAAUGGUAAGAACUUCUCCCCAGCCACCUCCAGAAGACAGAGAGAGGCAUCUGGGGGUCGGGGAUGUGAGUUGGCAAGAAGCUGGGAGACGUGACAGCCAGAGAGAUUGGGAGCGGAGACGUGCACCGCCCGGCGCCCUUCACUCAUGUCCUCCCUGGCCUGGGGCUCGGCAAGGCUCCUGCUGUUCCUUCCAUCUUCUCCAAGUGCUGAGAAUGAGGCGAAAGAGGAAGCAAUAGGGUAAAAAGAUACUGAGGACCUCCAAACUCAGAAGUGUUUGUUGAUUGAUUCAUUCAUCAUUCAGAAAGAGCGAGUACCUACUGCACGUCAAACCCACAGCCAAGGCUGGAGGUGCAGAGAUAAAUGAUUCACAGUUGGUGUCUCCAAGAAGCUCCCAGUCUAAGGACCCAAGAAGAAGCUGCAUCUCGCCAAGAGUCUUGGAAUUCUGGCUACAUUCGUAUUUGGGCUUCCUUACUCAUUGUUGAUUUACUGCAUCAAUCUUUUCCAAUGGAUUGGGAGCAUCAAUAUUUUGUAAGAUGAUAGAAAUUGAUAUAACCUGUGUAACCGAGAGGAUUGAAUUAGGUAGAAUCUCUGCCUCAGGGCGGGGCCUGGAGUGAGCCAAGCAAGAUGCUUAUGAGACAAAAUCUAUGGAGGUGUCAUUUUUAAGGUCAUGCUAGUGCAGGGUCUGCCUAAUAUUGGGUUGACAGACUUUGUGCAAGUCAUUUAAACUCCAUGAACUUCAGCUUCCCAUCUGUAAAUCAGGGACAUGCCUACUCAUGGAGCUGUUGAAAAAUUAAUAAUAUAAUGCUUGCAAAAGUGCGUUAUAAACUAUAAAUGGCAUAUAAACACGUGUUGGUUUUAUCAAUAGUAGUAAUAAUAAUUAUUUAUGAUCUUUUUCAUUAAUUCAUCAAUGACAUUAAAAAUAACCAUAACCAAAACAUUCUUUGUGGCAAAUGCAACACAUUAUACUGGAAAAUGGAAUAGAGAAACGGAAGGAUCUGGUAUGCUUUGUAAGAGGCGGUAGUUAAGUAAUGAAAGAUUUUGAGCUGUGAACUCAGACAGACUUGGAUUUUAAUCCCAGCUCUAUCACUUACAAAUGUUUAACCUAAACUCUGAAGUCUCCAUUUCCUCAUUUGUGAAAGGGGAAUAAUAAUAAUGGACUCAUAGGGUUGUUACUGAGGAUUAAAUGAGAUAAUGUGUGUAAUACUCAGCAUUUUGCAGGCCCGUAGAGAGCACUACAUAGAUGUGAGCUACUAUCGUUGUGUGGGGACCCCAGCACAACCAAUUCCUCCUACAGGCCAGAAUGUCUUCUGAGAUACUAAGCUUUUUCCAGUUUCCUUAGCUGAGGUCAUAUUACACAAUGCUAAGUCGCAAAGAUGCUUUUCCUACAGGCUUGAUUUUAGGAAUAAUUAUACUAAAUGUUGUUCCUUCUUUCCUAAGUUUCUCCAGAAUUAUAGCUGUGGUGUAAGUACCCAAGAGU